UACGUAGGGUGCAAGCGUUGUCCGGAAUUAUUGGGCGUAAAGAGCUCGUAGGCGGUUUGUUGCGUCGGCUGUGAAAUCCCGAGGCUCAACCUCGGGUCUGCAGUCGAUACGAGCAAACUAGAGUGUUGCAGGGGGAGACUGGAAUUCCUGGUGUAGCGGUGAAAUGCGCAGAUAUCAGGAGGAACACCGGUGGCGAAGGCGGGGUCUCUGGGCCGAUACUGACGCUGAGGAGCGAAAGCGUGGGGAGCGAACAGGAUCAGA
rnacentral:rRNA from 1 species